CGAGCAGGUCACCUUAUCGCCAUAUUAAUAUGGAGGAAAGUCCGGACACCAUAGCGUAGCAUAGCGGCUAACAGCCGUCGGCCGAAAGGUUAGGACAAGUGCAACAGAAAGCAAGUACAGGUAAUGCUGUAGUGAAAUCAGGUAAACUCUAUGCGGUGCAACGUCAUGUAAACUAAUGUUUGAGGGUUACGCGCCCGAUGUUAGAGGGUAGGCGGCUAGAGUCUUGUAGCAAUGCAAGACCGAGAUAAAUGAUAAGGACUCUUUUUUGGGGACAGAAUCCGGCUUAUGACCUGCUUAUUUU
rnacentral:RNase_P_RNA from 2 species